rnacentral:rRNA from 1 species
AUACCCAGACUGCCGAUGUCGGUCGGCCCCGUCUGGAAGAUGAAGAACAUCGUUGCAAUUCCGUGCGGAAUUACAACUUGGUUAGUGUACUUGACUUGGACAACACUGCUUGUU